rnacentral:lncRNA from 1 species
CUACCCUCGGCUGCUGCCCGAGCUUCCUCCGCGCGCCGUGCAGUCUCCACGGCUACGCGGCGUCCCCAGCGCGGAUUCCCGAGCCCCGCGCGAGCACCAGGUAGCUGGGCUGAUUCUCGGUGUCUGCCCUUCGGAUGGUCGGCUAGAGAGGGCUGCCAGCGGGAAUUCUGUAGACAAGAGAGAUGCCGUAAAGACAACAAAGAACAAACAGAAUGGCAGAUUGCUAAUGUUUAAUCCAAAGGAAAAAGUGAUGAUUGAAUCAAAUGAAGCAAUGUCAGAUAAAUGCCUUUUUGGACGCAGACCAAGAUUGAGAACCAAACUUAAUGCCUCACCAACGCAGGUCUCUCCAAGUGUAGCUAAGACAUUCGCAGAAAAGUAAGUUUUAAUUAAUUUUGUUUUUAGGCCCAUGUUUGAUGAUUUUA